GCAUUCCGCUAGGGGUGUUGUUGCCUGAACGGCAGCGACUGAGAGAGUCCCUUUGAACCUGAUUGAGGUAAUCCUCGCGCAGGGAAGCAAGCGACAAGACGG
rnacentral:ncRNA from 2 species